rnacentral:rRNA from 1 species
AUUGAACGCUGGCGGCAGGCCUAACACAUGCAAGUCGAACGAGUGGCGGACGGGUGAGUAAUGUCUGGGAAACUGCCUGAUGGAGGGGGAUGACUACUGGAAACGGUAGCUAAUACCGCAUAGCAUCGGAAGUGCCCAGAGGGGAUUAGCUAGUGGGUGGGGAAAAGGCUCACCUAGGCGACGAUCCCUAGCUGGUCUGAGAGGAUGACGAGCCACACUGGAACUGAGACACGGUCCAGACUCCUACGGGAGGCAGCAGUGGGGAAUCUUGCACAAUGGGCGGAAGCCUGAUGCAGCCACGCCGCGUGUAUGAAGAAGUCCUUCGGGUUGUAAAGUACUUUCAGCGGGGAGGCGUUAGCCGCAGAAGAAGCCCCGGCUAACUCCGUGCCAGCAGCCGCGGUAAUAC